rnacentral:rRNA from 1 species
UAAGGAAUAUUGCGCAAUGGGCGAAAGCCUGACGCAGCGACGCCGCGUGGGGGAUGAAGGUCUUCGGAUUGUAAACCCCUUUCGGGAGGGAAGAUGGAAUGGGGUAACCCAUUCGGACGGUACCUCCAGAAGCAGCCACGGCUAACUUCGUGCCAGCAGCCGCGGUAAUACGAAGGUGGCAAGCGUUAUUCGGAUUUACUGGGCGUACAGGGAGCGUAGGCGGUUCGGUAAGCCCUCUGUGAAAUCUCCAGGCUUAACCUGGAACAGUCGGGGGGGACUGCUGGGCUAGAGGACGGGAGAGGAGCGCGGAAUUCCCGGUGUAGCGGUGAAAUGCGUAGAGAUCGGGAGGAAGGCCGGUGGCGAAGGCGGCGCUCUGGAACGUAUCUGACGCUGAGGCUCGAAAGCGUGGGGAGCAAACA